rnacentral:rRNA from 2 species
ACGGGAGGCAGCAGUGGGGAAUAUUGCGCAAUGGACGAAAGUCUGACGCAGCGACGCCGCGUGAGGGAUGAAGGUUUUCGGAUCGUAAACCUCUGUCAGAAGGGAAGAAAGGAUACUGUACUAAUCAGCAGUAGAGUGACGGUACCUUCAAAGGAAGCACCGGCUAACUCCGUGCCAGCAGCCGCGGUAAUACGGAGGGUGCGAGCGUUAAUCGGAAUCACUGGGCGUAAAGCGCACGUAGGCUGUUUACCAAGUCAGUGGUGAAAUCCUGCAGCUCAACUGCAGAACUGCCAUUGAAACUGUUAGACUUGAGUAUCGGAGAGGGUGGCGGAAUUUCAGGUGUAGGAGUGAAAUCCGUAGAUAUCUGGAAGAACACCGGUGGCGAAGGCGGCCACCUGGACGACAACUGACGCUGAGGUGCGAAAGCGUGGGUAGCAAACAGGAUUAGAUACCCUGGUA